AAAAUCUUGUGAGGAAGCGAGUUGUUAUCUUUGGUUAUCUAGCUGUAUGAGUGUGUUGGUCUUCAUAAAGCUAGAUAACCGAAAGUAAAAACUCCUUCAUGAUCAUCGUGAAGCGUGUGGAAAUGAAAGACUACAGCAAGAGACAGU
rnacentral:miRNA from 1 species